rnacentral:rRNA from 1 species
CUGGCGGCGUGCCUAACACAUGCAAGUCGAACGGGAAUCUUCGGAUUCUAGUGGCGGACGGGUGAGUAACGCGUAAGAAUCUAACUUCAGGACGGGGACAACAGUUGGAAACGACUGCUAAUACCCGAUGUGCCGCAAGGUGAAAACUAAUUGGCCUGAAGAAGAGCUUGCGUCUGAUUAGCUAGUUGGUGGGGUAAGAGCCUACCAAGGCGACGAUCAGUAGCUGGUCUGAGAGGAUGAGCAGCCACACUGGGACUGAGACACGGCCCAGACUCCUACGGGAGGCAGCAGUGGGGAAUUUUCCGCAAUGGGCGAAAGCCUGACGGAGCAACGCCGCGUGAGGGAGGAAGGUCUUUGGAUUGUAAACCUCUUUUCUCAAGGAAGAAGUUCUGACGGUACUUGAGGAAUCAGCCUCGGCUAACUCCGUGCCAGCAGCCGCGGUAAUGCGGGGGAGGCAAGCGUUAUCCGGAAUUAUUGGGCGUAAAGCGUCCGCAGGUGGUCAGCCAAGUCUGCCGUCAAAUCAGGUUGCUUAACGACCUAAAGGCGGUGGAAACUGGCAGACUAGAGAGCAGUAGGGGUAGCAGGAAUUCCCAGUGUAGCGGUGAAAUGCGUAGAGAUUGGGAAGAACAUCGGUGGCGAAAGCGUGCUACUGGGCUGUAUCUGACACUCAGGGACGAAAGCUAGGGGAGCGAAAGGGAUUAGAUACCCCUGUAGUCCUAGCCGUAAACGAUGGAUACUAGGCGUGGCUUGUAUCGACCCGAGCCGUGCCGAAGCUAACGC